rnacentral:rRNA from 1 species
CCGCGGUAUCCUAACCGUGCGAAGGUAGCGUAAUCACUUGUUCUUUAAAUGUGGACUAGUAUGAACGGCACCACGAAGGUUAUACUGUCUCCUUUUUCUAAUCAGUGAAACUAAUCUCCCCGUGAAGAAGCGGGGAUAAUUCUAUAAGACGAGAAGACCCUAUGGAGCUUUAAACAACACAGCACUUACUAAAUAUCCUCUAAUGUUCCUGAAAUAUUAACUCUUUAAAGUAAGAUGACUGCAAGUUUUCGGUUGGGGUGACCACGGAGUAAAUCAUAACCUCCAUGUUGAAAGAACUUUUCUAAGCCAAGAAUAACCAAUCUAAGCAUUAACAAAUUAACAUCUAUUGACCCAAUAAAUUUGAUCAACGAACCAAGUUACCCUAGGGAUAACAGCGCAAUCCACUUCAAGAGCUCCUAUCGACAAGUGGGUUUACGACCUCGAUGUUGGAUCAGGGUAUCCCAGUGGUGCAGCCGCUACUAAAGGUUCGUUUGUUCAACGAUUAAAACCCUACGUGAUCUGAGUUCAGACCGGA